GUCUGGUUGCACAUGGAUCUCGGCUGGAAAGACGCUUGUAUUCUGUAAUCGGAAUUAAUUCUGCACUUCUUUCUGAUUCCACUGAAUCUAAAUAAAAGCAGAUCUUUUUAUUAUUUAAUUUUGCUCUCUAUCGACACAGUGAAAGAGGAAGAGACGCAACCUUCUUCCUCCCUGGUAAGCUCAUUCUUCUGAUUCUCUCACUUUCCGUCUCUUCUUCUGAAUUUGAAUUCGGAGGUGGGUAUUUGGUCUUUUCAAGUUUCUACAAACGGAUACCCCAAAUCCCCAUCCAAAUCUCCAGUUUCUUAUGGAUUAAUUUCAGUAUUUCUGUGAAUCUAUCUGCUGUGGAGAUACAAAUAUUAUCUGCUGUGUAGAUGUGAAUAUGCCCUCCAGAUAAUUGGAUGAUCAAAAACAGGGGAUUUCGUAAAAUUGUCCCACGUUUGCGUGCUUGUCUAUCUAUCUUUCACUGAUAGAUUUGAGAAAUUUAGAUUGGUAAAACUUUAUCAUUAUCCGCCAGUUAUAGCAAACCUGCAGUGUGGAAUUACUCAAUUACAUGUUUUAUGGCAUUUUUGCUGAUCGGUGAAGAUGGCAGAAGUUAAUCAAUGAAGGCGUGUUUGGUUGCUUGAUAGUAUUUGAAGUAAUGGGAAAUUGUUUGUCCUUGGUUUCUUGUGAAUUCUUGUGGGGUUAUGGGGUAUAAUGUAGAAAAGUACAAUAAACGAGAAACCUUUGGUUUCUUUUGCUUUAUUAUUUUAUUGUAUGCUUGGCUGCUCUAAGAAAUUUACUUUUUAUGAGCUUAAUGAAAAGGUGCCAGAGAGUGUAUGUAUACUGUCUUUUAGCAUAAGCUGCUGAGCAAGUUAUCUAUGAUGUGACAACAAGACUUCCUUAAAUCCGAAGAACAAGCCCAUCAAAGUUUCUAGGAGACAUAUUAUCUGGUCUAUCAUAUUCAGUUUAAGUGAUGUUCUAACUAGAGAAUAGAAUCAUAGUUUGGUCAUUUUGGUAUUUUGUCAAUUCACUGUUUGAAACUGUUUAAUCAUUGCAGGUUUAAGUCCAUUAGUGGUUUGCUGGCACUGUUCAAUGUUUUAACAUGCGUAGUGUACUUAAACAAGUAACCCUUUUCUAAGUCAAAUUGUUUGGCAUUCAGCAUGUUGGGUUUUGCUUCAAAAGCGAUUAAUGAUUCCUUAAGGUUGAAGAAUGAUCUUUCAAAGUGGAGUCAAGCUUAUUCAGAAUGCUCAGAUGAUGAAUUAUCAUUAAACAACGGCAGAGAAGAGGGACUGGAAUGCCCUAUAUGCUGGGAAUCUUUUAACAUUGUUGAAAAUGUGCCGUAUGUUUUGUGGUGUGGCCACACCCUCUGUAAGAAUUGUGUGCUAGGGCUGCAAAGGGCUAUGGUGAAACUUCCUACCCUCCCGAUCCAGCUUCCAUUCUUCAUUUCUUGUCCUUGGUGUAAUCUAUUAUCUUUCAGAUUGGUCCACAAAGGACACCUCAGGUUUCCUCGGAAGAACUACUUUCUACUCUGGAUGGUUGAAAGCAUGAAUGGUGAUAGGCCAAAGUCAUAUUUCUCCUUUCGUGGGGAUCAUCAGCCUGUUUCUUCUUCAAAAAGAAAUCAAGCCAUGGGCAAUCAAGUUACCCAUAUGAGCAACAGGCGAGCCUCAUAUCCUUGUCCUCCAGAACAAGCAGCAUCUAACCAUGACGAAGGUCGCCUUAACAUUAGAUACUUCAAUGCUGAGAGACUUCAGUUAUCCUUUCGCAAGUCGUUGGUUUUCUUUGUUCACUUGACAGCUAAGUUUCCAUUGAUUGUCAUAUUUCUUCUGAUUGUUUUGUAUGCAAUACCGGCCAGUGCAGCCAUCUUGUCACUCUACAUCCUUAUCACCUUUGUAUUUGCUCUCCCUUCUUUUCUUAUCUUGUACUUUGCCUUACCCAGUCUGGAUUGGUUGGUUAGAGAAAUCAUCACUUGAGUUACCAUUCUCCUACAUGCCCGAUGUCACAAAUGGGUGGCAUUUCUCUUAUUGCCAGUCCAGUUACAUAGUGCAAUUUGACGACUUUACCUCUAUUAGAUGCUGACCAGCUUCGUGGUUUUACAAACCAUGGAGCUCAACUUGAAGUUCUUCAAUCAAAUCACCUCCUUAUCAAACAUAUUUUAGCAUGCGGCAAAUAAGUUGAUUUCAGAUGUUACAUUGGUCUUGAGAACGCUGUUCUUUUGUAAUUCCAAAAUUUUGGGGAGCAAUCAAUGAUCUGUAGUAGAAAUAUAAUGAAGACGUACGGGUAUUAUUCUGCUGCAGUGUACAUUUAGGCGCCAGAAAGCUCUUGCAAGAAGACUAAUAUGUAGAAGAUUGUCCCUGUUUUGUGUGUCGAGGGUAAUGACCUUUUCAGUACUUUGCUACUAUAUUUUGGAUCUUUGAUGGACUGUACAUUGAAUGCUCCUAUUUUGCCUUUUUGGUUAUGGUAUGCAAGUGAAACUAUGCAAUUCCUUUUCCAUAGACGUCCUUUUGUAUUGGUGAGAGAUUGUAUGUGCACAUUUCAUGAAGCGUCAUUUUAAAACACAUGGAUGUUUGUUUAGCUACAAGUAUUAUUUUUAUUAGCCCUUGUGUUUUAAGAAAUUGCUGGCCUUCCAUGAGAUCUCUAAUUAAUGCUAGGUUUAUACUGUGAAACUUGAAAGCUUGUGGAAAGAACUUUAUGGUUGGAGGGUCACUCUCUUUGUAGUUUAUGUGACUUGUAGACCA
rnacentral:misc_RNA from 1 species